GACCACACGACAGUGUUAAAGGCCAGACGGACAGCCGGGUCAAAAGCCGA
rnacentral:sRNA from 1 species